rnacentral:misc_RNA from 1 species
GAUGAAGAACGUAGCGAAAUGCGAUACUUGGUGUGAAUUGCAGAAUCCCGUGAACCAUCGAGUCUUUGAACGCAAGUUGCGCCCGAAGCCAUUAGGCCGAGGGCACGCCUGCCUGGGCGUCACACGUCGUUGCCCCCCCAUCUACUCCUUCGGGAUUGCGGGGGGCGGAUGAUGGCCUCUCGUGCGCCUCGUCGCGCGGUUGGCCUAAAUGCCAAGUCCUCGGCGACGCACGCCACGACAAUCGGUGGUUGCGAAACCUCGGUUGCCUGUCGUGUGCGGUCGUCGCGCAUCUAGGGCUCGAAAAAAUUGCCGGGCUUCGGCUCGACUUUCAACGCGACCCCAGGUCAGGCGGGGUUACCCGCUGAAUUUAAGCAUAUCAAUAAGCGGAGGA